rnacentral:rRNA from 1 species
UACGGGGGGGGCAAGCGUUGUUCGGAAUUACUGGGCGUAAAGGGCUCGUAGGCGGCCAACUAAGUCAGACGUGAAAUCCCUCGGCUUAACCGGGGAACUGCGUCUGAUACUGGAUGGCUUGAGUUCGGGAGAGGGAUGCGGAAUUCCAGGUGUAGCGGUGAAAUGCGUAGAUAUCUGGAGGAACACCGGUGGCGAAGGCGGCAUCCUGGACCGACACUGACACUGAGGAGCGAAAGCCAGGGAGGCAAAGCGG